UUGAAGAUAUUUUAUUCUCGUUUUUUUUAUUAGAAACUAGAAAUUAGAAGUACUAGAAGUUAGGAGAAAAAUCCGACUAUGCAAUACUAUAGAGAUACGACUAACAGCAAAUUAUUAUCGAAUUGUUAUUACUCUUCUUUUUGGAGUAUUAUGAAAAAUUAGAAGAUAAAUGUGGUUACGACGAAGUAGUAUAAUAUUUUAUAGUCAAAGGGAGAGUCAAAGUGUUAACAAAUAAAUAAAUAACGUCGGGGGAUGAUAAUCAGGAUCUCUAAGUGAAUUAUAUGUAAUAAAAUUCGCGAUAUGAUAUAUAAUAAAAUACACGUAUGUUUCUCCAUAUAAUGCAGUGUACUGCGACACAAAAUUCAUUCGUCUGCAUCGAGUCUUACUCAGCUGCAUUUAAUGGUCGUCAC